GUUUGGAAUGACAUAUAUUGAAGCUGAACUUUGUGCCUCUGUGUGUGUGUUUUUUUUUAUUAAAUUGUGGGCGAAAACUUAUAAACGCCCUCAGGAAGAAACCACAUCUGUGAGGUUCAGCGUAAAGUCUUGUCGGGAGUAAAUUGCCAGCGUAGUUUGAUAGGGAGGAAAAUUGGAAUCAUCUGUCCCCUGUCGUGGUUGCGACUGCUCCAGGGUUCGGUCCAUCAUCUGGCAAUCAUUAAGGCAGGCUAUAUAUGACCAAAACGUCCAAGUUCGGAUCCUAAAGGUUGAAUAGACGAAAACCCAUUUGAGUGGAAGUUCAGGUAAAAUUAGACGUAAUCAACUUACCGUGGCGGAAAAAUUGUGUUCGGGCAAUUGCUGCACACAUGCGCCAGCGGCCUAGGCAGAGAACCCACCGGGCGAAAAGCGCUGGAAUGAGAUAGAAUACCAAUGAAAUAUUUACUAAAGCCAGCAAAAGAAUAAUUGUCAUAAACCAAAAGAAAAAAAAAAAACAAAAAAAGUAUAUUCUUUAAAUCCACUAAAAAGAAAAAAAUUGCCUUAAAUUGAAAAAAAAAAAAAAAACCUUAGACUUUGGGUUAAGUGUAUGUUUGUGAUGUUUGGUGGUGUUUUAUAAUGUCUUAUGUUUGUAGUUACUAGUUUUAAGUAUUUAUGCGUGUAAAAGUGUUUAAUGCCAGAAAUGUUAAAUUGUUGGUGAGCGCAGGGUUUACAAGGAAACCAUAUAGGCCAAAAUUGAAAGUUUGAUGUGAUAUGAUUUUUAUGAUACCAAUUUAGAGAGCUCUCUCAAUUAGGAAUUUGUUAGUUUUUUUUUGGUGUGCUUUGGAGUGAAAAUCAAAAGGCUCCAAGUGUCUAUAUGAUUUUUAUUUAAUGUGAAUUCGUGCCAAAUGGCUCACAAAAGAUAGAGUAAAGAUCUGCUGGUGUUAGAAGCUUCUAGGUUGUAUAUAUUUUUUUUUUGUGUGUGUUAUUUUGUAAAAAAAAAAAAAAAAAAGAAAAGGUUUAUUGUAAUGUGUUAAUGUUAGGCUAUUUAAGGACUUUUAUAAACCAAACCAAAUGUAAAAAUUUUAUGUCUAUGUGAAAAUCUAA